rnacentral:lncRNA from 1 species
GGGGGGAGGUAGAUGCUGAGGUGGAAGGACAAGGUGUAGGAGCACACAGGAGACUUUAACCAGACCAGUGAUAUUUUCCUUCUCAAACUUGGCAGGGAAGCCUCUCUGUGGAAAUGUUCCCAAUGACUUUUGAGCCCCUGGGAUAGAGUACUGCUCUUUUUUGGAAAGGAGCAAUGUGUCAAGGCUGAGGACGCUAGGAAGCUCGUAUGCUGCUGAAUUUGCCACUGUGGCAGAGGGCAAGAGCCAGUUCCAACCACGUGGCUGCAAGCAACAAACAUCCUGGAGAUGACGAAACGGAAGAAAAAAGCUGGGUAGCCUCAGGGAGGAUCAGUGCUUCCCCACCGGGUCACCUAUCCCCUGAGGACACUCAUCUUACCCACUACAUUUCAGAUGUCUUUGUUACAUAGUAUCGUCUGAACUGUAACCAAUAAAUGAUUUUGGACAAC